AAAUAAUUAUACUUUAAAGUAACAUUGUAAUGUGAUUGAUUUUGUUAAAUUGGUGAUUUAGUGGAGUAUGCUUAGAUAAUUAUUUACAGGGUGGAUAAUGAUGAUACUGUGAAUAUUCCAGGUUUUGGUUAGUUUAGGAGUGGUUUCAAUUAGCCAAACCUAGAAGUCGACUACUAUGCUAAUGUUGGUUUCAAUUAGUAGCCACUUUUUGGGUGAAACCAAAUUUAAAGUGUUCGGAAACUGGGACAUUGCCCUAAGGAUGUCACAAGGAGCAACAAGGAGAAUCAUCCAUCAACCAACACAAGCCUACUGGAGGAUAAAAAAGAAGCCAAUGGACAAGAAGUCGAUCGGAAGGAAGAUGUUCAGCCAAUGACCGGAAGGAUGUCAACAAGGAGAACCUAAUAACCUCGAAAGCGUCUUGAUUCCCAGAAAGGUAAUUCAUAAUUUUUAACUAAUAUUUGUUUCAAUUAGUAGCCACUAUUCGGGUGGAACUAAAUUUAAAGUGUUCAGAAACAAAAAGACAUCCAAAGAGCAAUUUAUAAAUUUAAAAUUAUUUGCUUAGGUGUACCAUCUACUCCCAACAUGAGGCGUCAAUUUUGUCGUAUGCUUUUGGAAGACAAGGCAGAGCAUGCAGACAUGUUUGAAGAGGUCUGCAAGAUUAAGUUCAGCAAACUUCCAUAAGAUAACCAUUAAGGAUGAUUUUGUGCAUGAUAUUCAUCCUGACAUCCAUGUCAACCUUACUACCAAGAGAGGAAUGUCAAGAGAAUAAGCGCAAUAACAAAGAAGAGUUAGUACUUCUACGAUUGGAUCCUAGAUUAUCUCAUCAGUGUGUUAGUUCAACUACGGUGUGUUCAUCAAUAUCGAAGUCAUCUCUAAACAAAGAUGACAAAAUGAAUGACUUAAGUUCUGGAGUCUCAGAAAAGAAGUAGAAGCACUUGCAGUUCCAGGAUGUCGAAGUAACCAAAAAUAGUGGAAAUUGUAGAAGAAGUUUCCACAGCAACUGUUAUGAAAGGUAAGCCGAAUCAGAAAUGGAAGUAGAUGAGUUGUGAAUCGACUGAGAUCGUAAAGUUUCUUUACGUUUGUAGUGCUAGUCGCCGAUAAGAAGCAGAAGUCCUUCAAGCAGUCAGAAGUCAUCUACAAACAAAAUUAUCAAAAUGAAAGAAGAAACGACAAAGAAAGAAUAUUCUUGGAAAGAAACAGAAGGCCGAAGUCUAAUCGAGUGCAGAUCGUCGUUGGAUGAGGAAUAACGGUUCACCGAGAAGAUCGGGGGACAAGCAGUUGCAGGAAACAUGCUAGUCUAUCCAGUGUGAGUUCAUCAAUAUUACUCCUUUAAAGACGACGUCUUCAAGCAGAAGUCGUAUGGACCUCAGUUUUACAGUAUCAAAAAAGAAGUAGAUGCCCUUACAGUUCCGGGAUGGCAGAGUAACCAAAAAAGUGGAAUCGUGGCGUUCUAGAAAAAGAUUGGAAAUACAGCAACAGUUAUGAAAGGUAGCCGAAUCAGAAAAGACAGUAGAGGGUGAGUAGUAAAUUGACUGAGAUAUGCAGUUUAGUCUAGUCUAGGGAUAUUUUUAAAAAACACCAAUUUUGUAUGUUUAGUUCAGACAUAAAUUCGAAUUAACAAUAUAAUUUUUUUUCAUUUCAUACAGUUCCUUCAUUGCGUUGCGUGUUUCGAGAAGUUUUUAUAAAUAACGUCAUAUACUUCGAAAGAAGUAUUGAAGACUAGCCAACUGCCUGUAGUAGUUAUCCUCGAUCAAGUGCACAAAGGACAACAAAAUACCAGGGAAACCAAUGGAACGAAGCCUAGUGGAGGAAGAAGAAUCAGCCAAUGGACAAGAAGUCAACUGAAAGGGCGAAGAAGUUCAGCCAUGCAGUACAAGCCUUCUGGAGGAGGAGGAAGAAGCCAAUGGACAAAAAUACAAAGUCGAUCAGAAGGAAGAAAAAGUUUAGCCAAUGGCCGGAAGGAUGUCGACAAGGAGCAGAUAGGAGAACCAUUUAACAUAACCUCCAAAGCGUCUUGACACCCAGAAAGGUAAAUAUUCUUAACCAAUUAAACUUUCUUUUGCUUAAAACAAAUUUUAAUUUUUUUUGUUUGGCAACAUUUUAGAGGAACAUUACCAUAUCCUGUCCGGACAAUAUCGAUGAGUUAGCCGAUUUUCACAAGGUUGAGUGCCGCCAAGCAGACCACCAAGUUAAUGCUACUGCUUCAAAAAGGAUGAGACGAAUCCUAAGACGGACAGAAAUUGGAACACUUGUUUGAAUACUAAUCCCCUCCGAUGGAUGUCUACCUUGUCGUGGUGGAGGGGCUUUUCACCAAGAGACAUCCGAAGAGAAAGAGUUGAAUCAUUAAAUUCAAAUUUGCAUCAAAUCAAAAGCUGCAUUGAUUCGAGGGGUGUAUUAUGUUCAGUCAGAACAUAGGAGCUACCAUCUCUGUCCCGAAUAACAAAGAAUCGUGGACAGUAACUGAAUCUACAAUUCGGAUGUGUGUUUCAAGUGCGUGGUUCUUAAGAAAAAGUAGAAGAAGAAGAAAAUAUCCAAUGAUUCUAGGCUUAGCCAACUGUCAGAACAACCAAGAAGAAAAGUUGAAGACAAGAAAAAAAGUAAAGUGCGUGAAUCUUUAGUGUCUUCAAGAAGUUGGUAGCCGAAGGAUGUCGGCAAGGAUGAGAGUAGCCGCAGCCGUGCAAUAUAACCUCAAAAUGGACAAAUCGAAUGUGUUCGUCAACUUUAAGUGCGGAAAUACUUUUCACAGGUGCAUAGUGUGAAAAGAACCUCAACCGCUUCUUGAGCAAAAAAAAUUCAACCACAGCACCGAAAGUGAAGUUUGCUGUGUUUUUAGUAACCAAAGAAGACUUUUGCUCAAACAAAGAAGAAUAGCGGCAUCGUUGCACAAAGGCAAACAAUCACAAGGGAACCAAUGGAACGAAGCCGAGUGUAGAAAGAAGAAUCAGCCAAUGGACAAGAAGUCAGGGACGAAAGAAGUCAGCCGGAAGGAUGUCACAAGGAGAACCAUUCAACAACCAACACAAGUGUAAUGAAGAAAGGAGAAGAAGCCAACGGACAAGCAGUCGAUCGGAAGGAAGAAAAAGUUCAUAGCCAAUAGCCGGAAGGAUGUCGACAAGGGGAAACAAGGAAAAACAUAACCUCGAAAGCGUCUUGGUGUCUUGACUCCCAGAAAGUGUGGAAAAAUACUGGCGAUUAUCAUUUUAUUGAAUCAGACAUCCAUUCGAAUCAAUGACUUUUCUUCGAGAAUGAUUCCGUGACAUUGGCAUACUAAUGACAUAUUAUCAGAAAAUGGAAAAAGAACGUGAUUGAAGAACGAUACUGUGAGGAUGGAAAAUCGAAGUGAAAUGUGAUUAGUGAAAACCGAAGGAUAUUACUUGUGAUUACGAUUUUUGGAAAAGUUUCCGAACUUAAAAAGUGGAUAAAGAAAAAAGUUUUAUUGAACCCAGGGUCCAGUGAGUGACGAUUGUUAAUUUUAUUUGAUAGUACUGU